rnacentral:rRNA from 1 species
GACGAACGCUGGCGGCGUGCCUAAUACAUGCAAGUCGAACGCAUUUUCUUUCACCGUAGCUUGCUACACCGAAAGAAAAUGAGUGGCGAACGGGUGAGUAACACGUGGGUAACCUGCCCAUCAGCGGGGGAUAACACUUGGAAACAGGUGCUAAUACCGCAUAAUUCCAUUUACCGCAUGGUAGAUGGGUGAAAGGCGCUUUUGCGUCACUGAUGGAUGGACCCGCGGUGCAUUAGCUAGUUGGUGGGGUCACGGCCUACCAAGGCUGCGAUGCAUAGCCGACCUGAGAGGGUGGUCGGCCACACUGGGACUGAGACACGGCCCAGACUCCUACGGGAGGCAGCAGUAGGGAAUCUUCGGCGAUGGACGCAAGUCUGACCGAGCAACGCCGCGUGAGUGAAGAAGGUUUUCGGAUCGUAAAACUCUGUUGUUAGAGAAGAACAAGGAUGAGAGUGGAAAGUUCAUCCCUUGACGGUAUCUAACCGGAAAGCCACGGCUAACUACGUG